rnacentral:rRNA from 1 species
GACGAACCGUCCAAACGUUAUUCGGAAUUACUGGGCUUAAAGGGUGCGUAGGCGGCCCUGUAAGUUGGGUGUGAAAUCCCUCGGCUCAACCGAGGAAUUGCGCCCAAUACUGCAGGGCUAGAGGAAGAUAGAGGUGAGCGGAACUUGUGGUGGAGCGGUGAAAUGCGUUGAUAUCACAAGGAACACCUGUGGCGAAAGCGGCUCACUGGGUCUUUUCUGACGCUGAGGCACGAAAGCUGGGGGAGCGAACGGGAUUAGAUACCCCGGUAGUCCCAGCUGUAAACGAUGAGCACUAGACCGAAGAACCCCCCAUAGUUUUUCGGUCGUAGCGAAAGUGUUAAGUGCUCCGCCUGGGGAGUAUGGUCGCAAGGCUGAA